rnacentral:snoRNA from 1 species
CUGUAGAUGCAAGGAAAAGAAGUCCUUGCGCUUUCUGUCUGUCUGGUUGUGGCAGCCAAGAUUGAAUGGGGGAAGACAGGA